rnacentral:rRNA from 1 species
UACGGAGGUGGCAGGCGUUACUCGGAUUGAUUGGGUGUAAAGGGCGUGUAGGUGGUGAAUUAAGUCGAGUGUGAAAUCCUUUGGCUCAACCAAGGAACUGCAUUCGAAACUGAUUUGCUUGAGCGGUGGAGAGGAAAGCGGAAUUCCCGGUGUAACAGUGAAAUGUGUAGAUAUCGGGAGGAACACCAGUGGCGAAGGCGGCUUUCUGGACAUCUGCUGACACUGAAACGCGAGAGCUAGGGGAGCAAACAGG